GUCUUGUAUUUUUUUCCCAAGUCAUCAAGUAAUGAUUUAACAACUAUGGUGUAGUGUUCUAUUAUUAUUAUUAAUUAUAAUCAUUCCCAAGCAUAUAAUCAAUUGUUCUUUACUCAAGUAAUUAUUUUUUUCUUCCAAAUUCACUGUUGUGAUGAAAUAAUAUAUAUGUUGAGUUAAAAGAAUUUUAAGUCCUAAAAAUGAGAACAUUUCUAUGUUUCUCCUUGACACAAUUAAAGAACUUUAAAUUUCUUACUUUUAUCGCUAGAUAUGGUAAAAUUCCAAUACUAUCAUGUGCAUUGCAACAGGAAUCUCAUUUAUGUAGGGUCAUGGAGGAGUUGAUCACAUUUUUUCCAGCAACUAUGUUUACAACAGGAGCAAAAAUAAGAUAAAUGUACUACAUAUUUUGUCAUUUCUAAAAUAAGUGAUAAUUCAUUUUGAUUUUUGCUUCGGAUCUUGAUUGAGGGCAUUGUUUUCAUCGAGAUGUAGAUUUUAGUCAACUGCAAAGUGUUGGUACUGGUGGAGUGAGAGAGAUGAUGCGAGCACUUCAUAUCAGCUAUAGAAGAGUCAAACAAUUAAAAUCCACAGGCACCGCUACUAAUUUCUAAUGAUCCUGAUAAAGUCAAAGGCAAGUUGUUGCUUCCACGCAAAGACUUAGAAAAGGUACUUUGGUGUGUAUUUUUUUUUAUGGUCAAAUACACAGAUGGAUGUUGUUUUGUCAUUGUAUUUCAAAAAAAUUGGCAUGUCUGGUAUCUGUAUUUGACUCUAUUUAGGCCUCAGCUACUAUUUCCUAGCCAUUAGUUGUGCAGGAAGUGAAUUAUGAAUCCUGGAUGAUAUCUUCAUAGCAGCUAAGGAUUACAUUGAUUGUUAUCCAUAUCCAUCAAGAUAAAAUUUCACCACUACAAUCCUAAGGCAAAAAGCAGAGAAUUAAGAUUUAACAAAGUCCUUUCAUUGCUUCAACGCCUUCGUAAUAAAAAACGCCCAGUCUCUAAUUUUGUUAAGUUCAUAUGUCAACCUCAACUACACACCGUUAUUGAUGUGAGUCCAAGGGACUCAAAUUCCUACCUAAUUCUACCUCCUCUAAUAUUGUUCUUUUAAAUUUUUUGGUUUAUGUAUUUGAUAUUAAUUGAAAUUGAACAACUAUAUGUUGUUUGCUACUCAUUUAGAUUGUGUAGUAUAACAACAACUGAUGAUGGAUCUAUUUCUCUGCUAUUUGCGUCUCUUAGCUGGUGAUUCUUUUAAAAUAUUUUUCUAUGUUUUUUGUGCAGAUGUUAUGUUGCUAACA